rnacentral:misc_RNA from 1 species
GAUGAAGAACGCAGCGAAAUGCGAUAAGUAAUGUGAAUUGCAGAAUUCAGUGAAUCAUCGAAUCUUUGAACGCACAUUGCGCCCAUUAGUAUUCUAGUGGGCAUGCCUGUUCGAGCGUCAUUUCAACCCUUAAGCCUAGCUUAGUAUUGGGAAUCGACUUUACUGUCGUUCCUCAAAUUCAACGGCGGAUUUAUAGCAAUCUCUGAACGUAGUAAUUUUUUUCCUCGUUUUUGAAAUACUAUAAGCCUCAGCCGCUAAACCCCCAAUUUUUCUAUGGUUGACCUCGGAUCAGGUAGGAAUACCCGCUGAACUUAAGCAUAUCAAUAAGCGGAGGA